rnacentral:rRNA from 1 species
CCUACGGGCGGCAGCAGUGAGGAAUAUUGGACAAUGGGCGUAAGCCUGAACCAGCCAAGUCGCGUGAGGGAUGAAGGUUCUAUGGAUCGUAAACCUCAUUUAUAAGGGAAAAAAGUGUGGGACGUGUCCUAUUUUGUAUGUACCUUAUGAAUAAGGAUCGGCUAACUCCGUGCAAGCAGCCGCGGUAAUACGGAGGAUCCGAGCGUUAUCCGGAUUUAUUGGGUUUAAAGGGUGCGUAGGCGGCCUUUUAAGUUAGCGGUGAAAGCCUGUGGCUCAACCAUAGAAUUGCCGUUGAAACUGGGGUGCUUGAUGAUGUUUGAGGCAGGCGGAAUGCGUGGUGUAGCGGUGAAAUGCUUAGAUAUCACGCAGAACCCCGAUUGCGAAGGCAGCCUGCCAAGCCAUGACUGACGCUGAUGCACGAAAGCGUGGGGAUCAAACAGGAUUAGAUACCCUAGUAGUC